GGGCCCGCACAAGCGGUGGAGUAUGUGGUUUAAUUCGAUGAUACGCGAGGAACCUUACCAGGGCUUAAAUGUAGUCUGACAGGGGUGGAAACACCCCCUCCUUCGGGCAGAUUACAAGGUGCUGCAUGGUUGUCGUCAGCUCGUGCCGUGAGGUGUCAGGUUAAGUCCUAUAACGAGCGCAACCCCUGCCGUUAGUUGCCAGCAUGUAAUGAUGGGAACUCUAACGGGACUGCCGGUGCAAACCGCGAGGAAGGUGGGGAUGACGUCAAAUCAUCACGGCCCUUACGUCCUGGGCUACACACGUGCUACAAUGGCCGGUACAGAGGGCAGCCACACCGCAAGGUGGAGCGAAUCCUUAAAAACCGGUCUCAGUUCGGAUCGGGGUCUGCAACUCGGCCCCGUGAAGCUGGAAUC
rnacentral:rRNA from 1 species